rnacentral:tRNA from 1 species
GGGCCGAUGCCCGAGCGGUCAAUGGGGACGGACUGUAAAUUCGUUGGCGAUUUGCCUACGCUGGUUCAAAUCCAGCUCGGCCCA